GGAAAUUAAUGAUGUACCUCUCAACUGGGAAAUGGCAAGCUCUUGCUAGAUUCAGCUCCUAAAAGCUCCCAUUGUUAAGUUUUCCAUGUAAAAAUUCUCACCUCAGAAAUGAGCAAGGACUAUAAAUUAGGACAUUAUUUCAUAUUAGGACAUUAGACUUUAGAAAGUGGGGAAAAGAUAGUAAUGCAGUUAAAUCUUAAAAAUAUGUUGUACAUAUAUUUUGUUUUUCAGAGAAUCUGUUCUUAAACAUUUAUCAGCAUACCCCUGGAAAUGGCUUAAGAAAUUGAGGUAUAUGCAAAGAAUGGGAUUUCACACAAUAUAAAAAAAUAGCAAAUAUGAAGAAUUAAAGAAACAUGGGGUGACUUUGUAGAAAUAUAUAGAGUAAUGUGAGUAAAAGUAAUAGAAUACGCAUAAUUACUAAAAUAAUGGACAUUCUAAGACUGUAAACUGAAACCAAAUUCUAUAUAAAGAUAAUAACUUAUCUUUGCCCUAGAGAAUGAAGAAAUGCACCAUCCUCUAUUUCCGGGAGAAGAGGGAGAUUAUGGAUAUAAGACAUUGAUGACAUCUUCGAACAUAGUUAGGAGAUGAGCGAAAAUAGAGUCGUCAAUAAACAGACAUAUUUUCUAAUCCCAAUAGAAGCAGCAGAAGAGGAUGUUUCCUGCAAAUAUGAAGAAAUUGAGGUCUGA
rnacentral:lncRNA from 1 species